CCACACAAACCUCUCUAGAACCGAAUUUGUUAUUAAUAUAAGUUCAAACAAAUUCGGAUCUACAGGGUGGAUGUAGA
rnacentral:pre_miRNA from 15 species